GCAUAUCGGCCUGGGCGACCCGGUGGUGAACCAGUGCUGCCCGCUGCUGGAGGGGCUGGUGGAGCUGGAGGCGGCGGUGUGCCUCUGCACCACCAUCCGGCUCAAGCUCCUCAACAUCAACCUCGCCCUGCCCCUCGCCCUCCAGCUCCUCCUCUCCUGCGGCAAGACCCCGCCACCCGGCUUCACCUGCUCCAUCUAGCCGACCUAACCUGGGUGAGUCAGUGCGCCAGUGCCCACUGCACGUGGAGAUUGAUGGAUCAUGGAUGGAUCGACAUGAGAGGAUGUCGAGCGUGGUCGCCUACUAGCUAGUAGCGAGCAAGAAGAGAUCGAUCGAUCAGCUUGUUUUUCUUGUGGUUUUUAUUUUGUGUUUGGCUAGGUCUGUGUGUUGUGGUUUGAUGCCAGAGGUGAUAAUCUAUGUGUGCUGAUCAAUUAAUUGGUCACAACUGAUGACCAACUGGUUAAGCUAGCAAAUAAGAAGGAAACAAGUAAACAGUAAUAGUAGUAAGAUUCCAUGCCAUGAAUAAUUCACAUAGCUGUUCCAAGUGACCAGUCGUGAUUGGAUUAGACAUCGAUCCUGACUAGGAGUAUGUUGGUGCAUGCAUGCAUGACUGCGACAGUGCAUGCACGGAUUAUACGUAUCUCUUUUCAAUGUCGGCGGUAAUUUGCAGUGGUUACCAAGAGGAUCUUCUGUGGUGGUAAUUUGCAGUGGUACCAAGAGGAUCUUCUGUGGUGGUAAUUUGCAGUGGUACCAAGAGGAUCUUGUGUGUGUAAAAAAAAAAGCGAUCUCACCCGCAAAAAAAAAACAAAAAAAAAAAAACAAUCCGCUUCAAACAAGCCUUAAACAUCAAGCUGACCGGCACCCCUUAUAUCUACCCUAAUGUAGGGCAGAUAUGGGGAUGCCCGGGUGCGACCUCCACGUCGAACGCAACACCAUGACAACAUCAUAAAUUGCGCCAAAUNNNNNNNNNNGCGAAAGCGCCGCCGAGUGGAGGUGGUGGAAGCAGGCAGUGAGCUGGCCUGUGGGGGAAUCGGGCUGCAGGAGGAAGACAGCUAGACGUUGAAGACUAAUAGUGCACACAGGAUCAUGACUGUUGGAUUGUGAUCUAACAGUCCAAAAACUUGACUAACAUAAUUUGCUUUCUUUUCAGGCACCGCACUACACGGCUAGGAAAUGGAAAGUCUCAAUUCACGCAAUCACGCGUGUUUCGUUUGGAGGUAAUAUAAUUUGGCCCCGUGCAGUGGGUGGUGAUUGGUGAAGCUUCGAACAACACAUCACAGUCCACGGUAGGUCACUCAGUCACAGACGCACAAUUUGAAAACCCUAGCCACCAACGAGAUCACGGGCCUCCAAUCGCAAGCAACCAGCUAGCUCGCUCUAUAAAACUACAGUACUCAGAAACCCUAGAAGCACACCCACCACUCCUCCUGUCCACCACCACGCUCGUUCACUACUACCACCAGCUGGCAGCCAUGGCGGCGAGCACGAAGAAGCUCUACCCGCUCCUGCUCACCCUCCUACUGCUCCUCACCACCGCCGCCGCGGUGCCCGCCAUCGACUGCGACUGCGGCAACCCCAAGGCCCCCAAGCCCUCCCACCCGCCCAAGACCAAGCCCCCCACCAAGGGCCCCAAGCCGGGACCCAAGGGCCCCACCUACCCGUCGCCGGCGCCCAAGGGUCACCUCCCGCACCCGCCGGUCGUCGGCCCGCCGAAGGGCCACGUCCCUCGCCCGCCGGUCGUCGGUCCUCCGAAGGGCCACGUCCCUCACCCGCCGGUAGUCGGACCUCCGAAGGGCCACGUCCCCCGCCCGCCGGUCUACGGUCCGCCCAAGGGCCCCAUCACGCGCCCGCCGGUCACCGCUCCUCCCGUCGUCGUCGGGCCGCCGGUGACCUACCCCACGCCGCCAGUGACUGCCCCGCCGGUCACCUACCCCGCGCCGCCUGUGACCGCCCCUCCGGUCACCUACCCGGCGCCACCAGUGACCACCCCUCCAGUCACCUACCCCGCGCCGCCGGUGACCAACCCCCCGGUCACGUACCCGUCGCCUCCGGUGAACACGCCAUGCCCUCCUCCGCCUCCGGCGACGCCCGCGGCGCAGACGUGCCCGGUGGACUCGCUGAAGAUCGGCGCGUGCGUGGACCUGCUGGGCGGGCUGGUGCACGUGGGCCUCGGCGACCCGGUGGUGAACAAGUGCUGCCCGCUGCUGGAGGGGCUGGUGGAGCUGGAGGCGGCGGUGUGCCUCUGCACCACCAUCCGGCUCAAGCUCCUCAACAUCAACCUCGUCCUGCCCCUCGCCCUCCAGCUCCUCCUCACCUGCGGCAAGACCCCUCCCCCCGGCUACACCUGCUCCAUCUGAUCGAGCUAAGCUCGGUAAGUCGGUGCACGUGGAGAUGGUGGAUCAUGGAUGGAUCGACAUGAGAGGAUGUCGAACGUGGUCGUAGUACGUAGCGAGCAAGAAGAAGAGAUUGAUCGAUCAGCUAUGAAGGGAUCGAUGAGUACGCGUUUGUUUUUCUUCAUUUCUUGUGGUUUCCUUUUUGUGUUU
rnacentral:lncRNA from 1 species